rnacentral:rRNA from 1 species
AAAUUGAAGAGUUUGAUCAUGGCUCAGAUUGAACGCUGGCGGCAGGCCUAACACAUGCAAGUCGAACGGUAACAGAAAGCAGCUUGCUGCUUUGCUGACGAGUGGCGGACGGGUGAGUAAUGUCUGGGAAACUGCCUGAUGGAGGGGGAUAACUACUGGAAACGGUAGCUAAUACCGCAUAACGUCGCAAGACCAAAGAGGGGGACCUUCGGGCCUCUUGCCAUCGGAUGUGCCCAGAUGGGAUUAGCUUGUUGGUGGGGUAACGGCUCACCAAGGCGACGAUCCCUAGCUGGUCUGAGAGGAUGACCAGCCACACUGGAACUGAGACACGGUCCAGACUCCUACGGGAGGCAGCAGUGGGGAAUAUUGCAC